CAGCAGCCACGGGAAAACGAAGGGGGCUAGCGUUGCUCGGAAUGACUGGGCGUAAAGGGCGCGUAGGCGGAUGGCACAGUCAGAUGUGAAAUUCCCGGGCUUAACCUGGGGGCUGCAUUUGAUACGUGUUGUCUAGAGUGAGGAAGAGGGUUGUGGAAUUCCCAGUGUAGAGGUGAAAUUCGUAGAUAUUGGGAAGAACACCGGUGGCGAAGGCGGCAACCUGGUCCUUGACUGACGCUGAGGCGCGAAAGCGUGGGGAGCAAACAGGAUUAGAUACCCCUGUAGUCCCUGUCUCUUAUAC
rnacentral:rRNA from 1 species